AAUUUCAGCACUAUAUUCUUGUCAUGUGCUAUUGAUUUUUUGAGUGGAGCUUCCAAUAAACCAAGGUUGUUAGUCGUUACUAAAGUCAACUACAUUGCUUUGUCACCCCUAAGCUAUCAUGUUGUAUAUUGUUUGUUACUAUAUACAUGACACGGGGAAGAAACUUCUGCCUGAAAUCUUGAACUUUUAAGUAUGUAUAUCAUAAUUUCCAAACACANN
rnacentral:lncRNA from 1 species